UCCUACGGGAGGCAGCAGUGGGGAAUAUUGGACAAUGGGGGCAACCCUGAUCCAGCAAUUCCGCGUGUGUGAAGAAGGCCCGAGGGUUGUAAAGCACUUUCAGUAGCCAAGAUGGGGUCUUGCACUAAUAUUGUAAGAUCUUGACAUUAACUACAGAAGAAGCACCGGCUAACUCCGUGCCAGCAGCCGCGGUAAU
rnacentral:rRNA from 1 species